CUUGGGGAUCCCUCUCCUGGAAUCCUAAUUGCCUCCGGUCCUCCUCCUCCGGAACUAGCCCGACCCGCUGAAGCUGCCCUCCCUCGCCGAACCACCGCCGGAGCAGCACACCAGUGCUGCCGCCCACUCCGCCCUCUUCCUGUUCCUCCGUUCCCUGUUAAGCAUCGGAGACAGUCAUGGAGCAGUAGGCAACAGGCGUAGGCGGCGCGACUUGGAUGGGGGCGGAUGUGGCGGAGUGCGAGGAGGAGCGCGUCUUCCCCGUGGCCGCGCCCCCGUAGAGGAGCACAGGGAAGGCCGACGCAGGCGCCAAGAGCCAGAGGAGGUCCGGAGCCUGCACGCUGCGGCCGGGCAACGCCUCGAGGAGCGCAUUGGUGGUGCUCCGCUCAUCCUCCCCUCCUCCUUCGCGGCGGCAGGAAUGAGCUGCCGCCUAGGUGUGCAUUUGGGCCAUUAGGAUGGGAGGUCGGGGAGGCGGGAUCGGAAUCGGAGCCUGCGGAGGAGCGGGUGGUGCGGCGCCUGGCCGCGCCUGGCCCGCGCACGCGCCGCUGGCCGGAAUCGCCAUGGAGUUGGUCAGUCGAUCUCUGUUCUUGAAUCCGUCGGGCUUCCCUCUUCCUCUUCCUCCCUUACCAGCCUCAUCUAUUGGUGGAGAAGCUGCACGUUCACGCGUCCAUAUGGAUGACGCCCAGCCGCCCACCAAUUGCUCGAGGAUAUACCUCCAAGGCAAGGUGUUGUCUGGACAACGUUUCCAGGAGUUGCUGCUGAAUAGCACUUGCAGAGCUAAUUUAACAAUCGAUUUACACAGACAGCCAAUAUUUACUGCAGUUCCAGCAAAUAACCUGUUAAUCCAUAUAUUCAAAUAUUUCAAGUUUUGAUGUUCAUGUAUCAUGAAUUUAUGACUAAUGGUAAAAUAUGCAGACUGCAAAUCCAUAGCAUAUGUAUCUUAUCUUAUAUUCUAACCUUGAAUCAAAUUUGAUUCUUCAAUUUAUUUGUAACUGAGAUGUUACAAAUAAAUUGGUCUGUGUUAAUUGCAGAACAACGUGUGCACAAACCCAUAAUAUACUCUUACAGGUAUGUCGAUCUCCAUUCCUUGAAUCUCACUACUACUUAUUUUAACAAAAUCUUACCAUGUAUUUUCAGUAACUAGCACCAGGAAGUGAUCCCAAAUAAGUAAAGAUCAGGAGCAAUAAAAAAGUUGGACAACCGUGAGCAACAGGAGAGGAAGAAGCUAAAAAAUAAAGAAUGAUCAAAGGUAAGCCAGCCUUACAUAAUCGACCUUUAUCCAUUAUCAUUUAAUUUGGAUUUAACUACUAUCUCCUUAUAUUUUUCCUCUGGUACGACUACACAGCUAGCUAGCAGCAAGCAAGAAUAUUUUGUUGUACAAGACAUGCCAAUAUGGAUCAUGCUUCUGCUUAUAAUUUUGGACACAACUUUGACUAACUGAUGCUUUUGCUUUUGGGAUACAUCUUUUGGUCGAAAAACCAGCUAACGACAUUCCAAAACAUGUAUAGCCACCAUAGAAUAACAUAGAUGAUAAAAUUACAUGUUAUAAGAUACCUACCUUUUGGAAACAAAGAUUAAGUUCACUGCUUUGAGUACUAUUUUAGUUUAUGUAACAUCAAGAUUGUAAGCAACAUAGUAUGAUGAUUUCAAUGUCUCGGCUGACACGUACUUUAUUAGUUA